rnacentral:rRNA from 1 species
CCUACGGGAGACAGCAGUGAGGAAUAUUGGUCAAUGGGCGGAAGCCUGAACCAGCCAAGUCGCGUGAGGGAAUAAGGCCCUACGGGUCGUAAACCUCUUUUGCCGGGGAGCAAGGGCCGGGACGAGUCCCGGUCCGGAGAGUACCCGGAUAAAAAGCAUCGGCUAACUCCGUGCCAGCAGCCGCGGUCAUACGGAGGAUGCGAGCGUUAUCCGGAUUUAUUGGGUUUAAGGGGUGCGUAGGCGGGCUUUUACGUCAGCGGUAAAAAUUCGGGGCUCAACCCCGUCCGGCCGUUGAAACUGGGGGCCUUGAGUGGGCGAGAAGAAGGCAGAAUGCGUGGUGUAGCGGUGAAAUGCAUAGAUAUCACGCAGAACCCCGAUUGCGAAGGCAGCCUUCCGGCGCCCUACUGACGCUGAGGCACGAAAGUGCGGGAAUCGAACAGGAUUAGAUACCCUUGUAGUC